rnacentral:lncRNA from 1 species
UUUUUUCUUUUUGAGACUGGGUCUCACUCUGUUCUGUCACCCAGGCUGGAGCGUGAUCAUGGCUCACUGCACCCUCAACCUCCCUGGGCUCAGGUGACCCUCCCACCUCAGCCUCCCAAGUAGCUGGGACUACACGCACACAUCACCACACCCAACUAAUUUCUGUGGUUUUUUUUUUUUUUUUUUUUUCCACGCUGCCCAGGUCUUGAACUCCUGGGCUCAAGCAAUCCACCUGCAUCGGCCUCCCAAAGUGCUAGGAUUACAAGAGUGAGCCACCACGCCCAGCCUUCAAAACAUUAUCAUCACCCAAAACAGAAACUCUGUACCAUUAAACAGUAAUUCCACACCCCCCUCCAAUAUUACCACAUUUUUAUGAUGAGGAAAACGGAGGCACAGAGAGGCUCGGUAAAACAAUCAAUGUUACACAGCUAGCUAAGCAUAGGGGUCAGGACUCAGACUAGGCUAUUUGGCUCCAGAGCUUGCUUUCUGAAUCACUGUCUUACAUUUUUUUUCUUUUCUUUUUUUUUUUUCAGACAGAGUCUCACUCUGUCCCCUAGGCUGGAGUGGUGCACUUAAAAAUGGAGCUGACAUAUAGUAGAAGUACUUGGUAUUAUAUGAUCCCAUGAUAUAAUAAGUCCCCUUCUCUAAAUCAUUUCUUCACCUAAUGCUGCCUCACACCUGGGGAAGCGAACAAGGCACCACUAAAAGCCAAUCCACUGAUCUCGGCAUCCUAUUUAUUCUCCUUUUAGAAGGCUUGGCCAGGCACGGUGGCUCACACCUGUAAUCCCAGCACUUUGGGAGGCUGAGGCAGGAUUGCUUGAACUUAGGAGUUUGAGAUCAGCCUAGGUAACAUGCCAAAACCCUGUGUCUACAAAAAUUAAAAACUAGCCAGGGGUGGUGGUACAUGCCUAUAAUCCCAGCUACUGGGGAGGCUGAGGUGGGAGGACUGCUUGAGCCCAGGAGAUCGAGGCUGCAGUGAGCUGUGACAGCUCCACUGCACUCCAGCUUGGGCCUUGUGUGAAAAAAAAAACAAAAAGAAAAAAGAAUAAAGAAAUCUUGAGUAAAACUUGGUAGUCUCCCUUCUUAUUCUCUAUCACUGCUAUCAUCUAAAUUUCCAGGAACCUCCUGGGCCACUUCUAACCGCUAGAUGGCCAAGCUACAGAGUGAUUAUUUCCUUAGGCAAGCAAACAUCCCAGCCCUCUAAUACGGUAUUUCCUGGGGCUGGAAUAUCAACAGGAAGUUAUGUGAGGAAGAGCUCUGCCAAAACACUCAUUCCAAGGAAGGGACUGGUAAAGUGACAAAUUUGCCCAAUCCUGUACAACAUCCUGCAUCCUCCACAUGUGGCCCUGUUGCACAUCUAAUCCACAGGCAGGUCACUCGCUGCUGACUCUAUUCUUCUCUGGGCUCCUGGGACGUAUAAAUAUGACUCUAUGUAAGAAAACCAGAGGCUGGGCGCAGUUUGCUCAUGCCUGUAAUCCCAGCACUUUGGGAGGCCGAGGCGGGCGGAUCACGAGUUCAGGAGUUCCAGACCAGCCUG